GAAACAAAGAGGACCCAGAGAGCUCUGCUUUUACACUUUAAGGUCUCCCAGUGGGUAUUUGUGUCCCAUGCUGCACUUGGGCUAAUCAUCUUUCAAGUCACUCCACAUCAGAUGAAGUGGAAAGGAGACCCCAGACAGUGUGUACGGGUCAGUCUGGCUGGGGAAGCAAGCAAAGGGAUGAUAUGUCUGAGUGACCAGAUCAGUGAAGUGCCACAGCAAGCCAGCAGAGGCUGUCUUCUAGCAGAAAUACAGAGAUUUGUGCAUUUAUCCUUCAUAGAAAUCAUAACGCUUCUGGAGCUUACAGACAGGCGUUACAAAUACCUCCCUCCAAGCCUCACUCUCGGCGAAGUUCAUUGUCAUCUGGCAGCAGAAGACAUCAAUCACUACUCAGAAGCACAGGCUAAUGUUUCUAAGCCAGGCAGGGCUUGUAUCUGCUUCCCAAAUAGCUUACCCUAUCAGUUCUUUUUAUUGAGAUUGAUUCCCCAUAUUUUGCUAGUUUGAGGAUAUAGUCCAUUUAUAUUUAUCUUGUAUUGUACAGCUAAUAAUCGACAUUGUUACUGUACUUAUUUUAUGAGCCAAUUUCUUUGUACCCAAGGGUGUUUUUAUUACUCCCCUUUUGGCCUUUCCUUCAGAGCACUGAAAGUAUACAGUGAAGGGGGAAGAAGUGUUGUACAGGCUUUGUAAUAAAAUACAUGGUUUGAUAAUUAUUUCUUUCUUUGUAUCACGCUCCCGCUUUCUUUUUCUCUAGCUCUGCCUAGAACACUGACCAUCUAUGCAAGUCAAGAGGCAGCUUCAGUGUAAUUUCACAUUCUCCAUAUCCUCUUUAAAAUAAAGAAUAGCCAAGAUGCUGUGUCCCACUGAUAUUUGGUGACAGGGACAUUGCAAAGAGUAUUAUGAGGGAGCAAAGCUAGCCACUGCAGCCACUUUCAGCCUGCUGAGGAAAUUUCCUAUGCUACAUAUAUUUCCCCGGGAAAAGAGACUGCUGGUGGCAAUGGAAAACUUGAUGGGGACAGACUGGAAGAUACUCUAUUUUUUAUUCUCUGCAUUCAAUUUAGCAUCACUUUAUGCCUGCAAAACAUGAUAUCUGAAAUUCUGGGUUAAUAAUAAGCUAUCAGAAAACUUAAUGACUUUUCUGUCAGGCUGAAUCUUGCAUAGAUACAUAUGAGCAUUUGUACCUUCAACUUGUUAUGGAAGAUGACAUAUUUACAGAAGGAAAUUUUCAUCCAGAAAAUUAGGAACCGAACAUGAGGCAAAAUGGCAUAAAGUUGGUGUCUCAUUUCAUUUUUGACAGUGAGUCUGUAAGCUGAUGACAUCCAUACUGCUAGGAUUACUCUGAAGUUGUCUUUAAGCACAUGAUCCAGUGGAGACUGACAAAUACCUUCAUUAUUGCAAAUUAGUGCAGAAUAGUAUGAAAGAUGAGGCAAUUGCCAGGGCCUGGAGGCUCCUCUAGCAAGUGAAUUGAUGGUGUCAGUCAGAAGAAACUCCAGAUAUCAGAGCCAGGAGGGGCCACUACAUCACUGAGUCUGACUUCUUGAGUAACACAGCCAUUACUUUUACUCUGUUACUUGUAUCUUCAUAAUAUCUCGCUUCUCACAGAUGGAUGAUUAGGCAAGAUAAUGGGAAAACAAAGGGAAGCAGAUCUGUCUUCAAAGAUACAAAACAACUACAGCCUUGGUACCCUGACACAGGAGCACAUUGACACUUGCUGAUGCCCUUCUAUCAGCCUCACAGCCUGGUGGAGCAGCCCAGCAGUGAUAUAUCAUAUUAUAAAAGUAUCAUCAACAUAUAAUGGUCACAUUCUCCAGUGCAUAACAAACAUACGUGCUUGUUAAGUGCCGACUGAACGAACAUUCAGUACCUCCAGAGCCAUGAUGUUCCACAGAAAGAAACAUAUGGAGAUAGGCAGGACUUGUUAAUUUGUUCUCAAAAGGAUACAGAUAAAAGCAGAUGCUA